rnacentral:rRNA from 1 species
GAUGAACGCUGGCGGCGUGCCUAAUACAUGCAAGUCGAGCGAACGGACGAGAAGCUUGCUUCUCUGAUGUUAGCGGCGGACGGGUGAGUAACACGUGGAUAACCUACCUAUAAGACUGGGAUAACUUCGGGAAACCGUAGCUAAUACCGGAUAAUAUUUUGAACCGCAUGGUUCAAAAGUGAAAGACGGUCUUGCUGUCACUUAUAGAUGGAUCCGCGCUGCAUUAGCUAGUUGGUAAGGUAACGGCUUACCAAGGCAACGAUGCAUAGCCGACCUGAGAGGGUGAUCGGCCACACUGGAACUGAGACACGGUCCAGACUCCUACGGGAGGCAGCAGUAGGGAAUCUUCCGCAAUGGGUGAAAGCCUGACGGAGCAACGCCGCGUGAGUGAUGAAGGUCUUCGGAUCGUAAAACUCUGUUAUUAGUGAAGAACAUAUGUGUAAGUAACUGUGCACAUCUUGACGGUACCUAAUCAGAAAGCCACGGCUAACUACGUG